GGGCGUAAGCGCACGCAGGCGGUCCUCGGCGUAGAGGGUGACAGUCCUCGGCUUAACUGAGGAAGCGCUCUUUAAACGGGGGGACUUGAGGGCCAGAGAGGGAGACGGAACUCCGGGUGGAGCGGUGAAAUGCGUAGAGAUCCGGAAGAACACCGAAGGCGAAGGCAGUCUCCUGGCUGGUUCCUGACGCUCAGGUGCGAAAGCGAGGGGAGCAAACAGGAUUAGAUACCCUGGUAGUCCUCGCCGUAAACGAUGACCACUAGGCGUGGGAGGUAUCGACCCCUUCCGUGCCGUAGCCAACGUGAUAAGUGGUCCGCCUGGGGAGUACGGUCGCAAGAUUAAAACUCAAAGGAAUUGACGGGGACCCGCACAAGCAGCGGAGCGUGUGGUUUAAUUCGAUGCAACGCGCAGAACCUUACCAGGGUUUGACAUGCUCGCGCACCAGCCAGAGAUGGCUGUGCCCGCAAGGGACGCGAGCACAGGUGCUGCAUGGCUGUCGUCGGCUCGUGCCGUGAGGUGUUGGGUUAAGUCCCGCAACGAGCGCAACCCCUAUAGCUAGUUGAAUCUUUCUAGCUAGACUGCCGCGUUCAACGCGGAGGAAGGUGGGGAUGACGUCAAGUCAGCACGGCCCUUACAUCCUGGGCGACACACACGCUACAAUGGGCAGGACAAGGAGUCGCGAACCCGCGAGGGGGAGCCAAUCUCAACAAACUUGCUCUCAGUUCAGAUUGUAGGCUGCAACCCGCCUGCAUGAAGUCGGAGUUGCUAGUAACCGUAGGUCAGCACACUACGGUGAAUACGUUCCCGGGUCUUGUACACACCGCCCGUCACACCACGAAAGUCGGCAACACCUGAAGCCGCCAGGCUAACCCAUUUGGGAGGUAGGCGU
rnacentral:rRNA from 1 species